CCAGAGGGUUUGCAUCCUGCCUCGGAUGAGCACAGCUGGGUCCGGAGGUUUCUCUGCAGCAAUCCCUGCGCAGCGCUGCAAGUGGAGCGCCCAUGGGGGAGCACAGGGCAGAGCCGGCCCUGAUGGGGUGCACUGAACUCUGCAGAGUUCCAACACAGCCUUAAUUCUAAGACCUCUACAGGAGAAUAAAGGAACGCUCGGUGCCCAAAGCUGCCUUCAGUGGACGCUGGAAGGACAUCCGCUCUCAGAAGGAGGAGCAGGGAAGAUGUUUGGAGAAGUCCUUGACACGGCGAACGCACUUUAAGUACCGCCUGCUGCGGAUCGCCGCGCACCCCCCGGCCCAGCACCGGGCACGGCUCCGGCUCG
ensembl:lncRNA